GGGAUGCAUACUUCACCAAAAAACAGAAACAACCCAAUAACAUCGGACAUCAAGGUUGUGACAACUCUACACUACUUGGCUACAGCUCCGCAAACUGUGCACUCUACUGAGAAGUGGAUUGAAGUGUGGGGCACACUGAGCCACAGAGCAGCACAGCUCCUCCAAAUAAAGCACUGGAGAAAAACCCCUGGCCGCUGCUCACUAACAGUGUAAUGAGAGGCCACGCAGCCGUGCAUUAAAUCCUCCCGACCACAUGAAGGAGAAUAUCAGCUACUGCAGCCUGUCUGCUGGGACAGUGGGUUAAGCCGACUACAUACAGUACAUUAUGGUAUAGGCCAGGGGGCCUCCACUCCAUACCUGGGGACCACAAACACUUUUAGUUUUCUAUUCUGACUAGUAGACAACUGCAAUUGCCUUGUCAAAACUAGUCACUUAUUAGAGGGCUAAAAUGAAAACCAGCAGGACUCCUGGUCUGGAGGCCUGACAUUGAGAACUACGACUGUAAGCUACACACGGCACGAGCCAGCUAAACGGACGCGCAGCUUUAAACAGGCACUGUUGUUUGUGUGACCAUUCAACUGAAACCGAGUGGCCAGCACCAUUGCACCCCGAAGCCCCUCCGCUUGCUCUCCUCUGAAGCCCAGCAGGGUCGGUCCUGGUCAGUGCCUGGUGGCUGCUGGAAGUGGAGUUGAAGGGACAGUGUGGGACACUCUUCCCUCUGGUCUAAAGAUCAAAUCCCAGGGCGGUGAAGGGGACAUUCCCUUGCACAGGGGCGCUGUCUUUCAGAUGGGACAGUAAACAGGAUUGUAUACAGUCACUGAUGUAAGAGGCUUAACCUUUAAGAACAGGACAUUGAAAAUGAAUAUUUCUGGUUGAAAAGAUGUUGAAUUUCAGAUAAUUUUGCUUAGUGUGGAGUUUGGAUAAAAGCCUCAGCUAAUGAAACAAAUGUAAAUGUACAUCUCGGUACAGUUCUGUAAAUACAGGCAUUUGUAAAGUAUUCAGACCCCUUCACUAUCUCCACCUUGUUACAUCACUACCUUAUUCUAAAAUUGUUUAAUAGAUUUUCUUCUAUUUACACUCUAUCCUGUAAUGACCAAGCAUAUUAAGUCAAUAUGGGGUUUUGAGUAUAGAUUGAUACAAUAUUUUUUAUUUAUUUUAAUACAUUUUAGAAUUAGGUGGUAAUGUAACAACAUUUUGAAAAAGUGAAGGGGUCUGAAUACUUUCUGAAUGCACUGUAUAUA
ensembl:lncRNA